AUACGUAGGGGGCGAGCGUUGUCCGGAAUUACUGGGCGUAAAGGGUGCGUAGGCGGCCCUUUAAGUCAGAUGUGAAAGCCCGCAGCUUAACUGCGGAAUUGCAUUUGAAACAGGAGGGCUUGAGUGUCGGAGAGGGUAGUGGAAUUCCCAGUGUAGCGGUGAAAUGCGUAGAUAUUGGGAGGAACACCAGUGGCGAAGGCGACUGCCUGGACGAUAACUGACGCUGAGGCACGAAAGCUAGGGGAGCAAACAGGAUUAGAUACCCUGGUAGUCCUAGCCGUAAACGAUGGGUACUAGGUGUAGGUGGUUUCGAUACCAUCUGUGCCGUAGUUAACGCAUUAAGUACCCCACCUGGGGAGUACGGCCGCAAGGUUGAA
rnacentral:rRNA from 1 species